GUGGGUAGUUUGACUGGGGCGGUCUCCUCCUAAAGAGUAACGGAGGAGCACGAAGGUUGGCUAAUCCUGGUCGGACAUCAGGAGGUUAGUGCAAUGGCAUAAGCCAGCUUGACUGCGAGCGUGACGGCGCGAGCAGGUGCGAAAGCAGGUCAUAGUGAUCCGGUGGUUCUGAAUGGAAGGGCCAUCGCUCAACGGAUAAAAGGUACUCCGGGGAUAACAGGCUGAUACCGCCCAAGAGUUCAUAUCGACGGCGGUGUUUGGCACCUCGAUGUCGGCUCAUCACAUCCUGGGGCUGAAGUAGGUCCCAAGGGUAUGGCUGUUCGCCAUUUAAAGUGGUACGCGAGCUGGGUUUAGAACGUCGUGAGACAGUUCGGUCCCUAUCUGCCGUGGGCGCUGGAGAACUGAGGGGGGCUGCUCCUAGUACGAGAGGACCGGAGUGGACGCAUCACUGGUGUUCGGGUUGUCAUGCCAAUGGCACUGCCCGGUAGCUAAAUGCGGAAGAGAUAAGUGCUGAAAGCAUCUAAGCACGAAACUUGCCCCGAGAUGAGUUCUCCCUGACUCCUUGAGAGUCCUGAAGGAACGU
rnacentral:rRNA from 1 species